AGCCUGAUGCAGCCAUACCGCGUGGGGGAUGAAGGCCUAUCGGGUUGUAAAGCCCUUUUGUUGGGAAAGAAAAGCAGUCGGCUAAUACCCGGUUGUUCUGACGGUACCCAAAGAAUAAGCACCGGCUAACUUCGUGCCAGCAGCCGCGGUAAUACGAAGGGUGCAAGCGUUACUCGGAAUUACUGGGCGUAAAGCGUGCGUAGGUGGUUGUUUAAGUCUGUUGUGAAAGCCCUGGGCUCAACCUGGGAAUUGCAGUGGAUACUGGGCGACUAGAGUGUGGUAGAGGGUAGUGGAAUUCCCGGUGUAGCAGUGAAAUGCGUAGAGAUCGGGAGGAACAUCCAUGGCGAACGCAGCUACCUGGACCAACACUGACACUGAGGCACGAAAGCGUGGGGAGCAAACAGGAUUACAUACCCUGGUAGUCCACGCCCUAAACGAUGCGAACUGGAUGUUGGGUGCAAUUUGGCACGCAAUAUCGAAGCUAACGCGUUAAGUUCGCCGCCUGGGGAGUACGGUCGCAAGACUGAAACUCAAAGGAAUUGACGGGGGCCCGCACAAGCGGUGGAGUAUGUGGUUUAAUUCGAUGCAACGCGAAGAACCUUACCUGGUCUUGACAUGUCGAGAACUUUCCAGA
rnacentral:rRNA from 1 species